GAUGAACGCUGGCGGCGUGCCUAAUACAUGCAAGUCGAGCGAACGGACGAGGAGCUUGCUUCUCUGACGUUAGCGGCGGACGGGUGAGUAACACGUGGAUAACCUACCUAUAAGACUGGGAUAACUUCGGGAAACCGGAGCUAAUACCGGAUAAUAUUUUGAACCGCAUGGUUCAAAAGUGAAAGACGGUUUUGCUGUCACUUAUAGAUGGAUCCGCGCUGCAUUAGCGAGUUGGUAAGGUAACGGCUUACCAAGGCAACGAUGCCUAGCCGACCUGAGAGGGUGAAUGGCCACCAUAGAACGUGAACAAGGUCCCUGCUACUAACGGAGGGCGCAGUAGGGUAACUUCCGCAACGGGCGAAAACCUUGCCGAGCCACCCCGCGUGAGUGGUGGAAGUCCUGCGAUCGGAAAAACCUGUUAUUAGGGAAAAACCUAUGUGUAAGGUACUGUGGACAUCUUGACGGUAACUAAUUCAAAAGCCCCGGCUAACUACGUG
rnacentral:rRNA from 1 species